UAGGGGUUCUGAGAGGAAGGUCCCCCACAUUGGAACUGAGACACGGUCCAAACUCCUACGGGAGGCAGCAGUGAGGAAUAUUGGUCAAUGGGCGCAGGCCUGAACCAGCCAAGUAGCGUGAAGGAUGACUGCCCUAUGGGUUGUAAACUUCUUUUAUAAAGGAAUAAAGUCGGGUAUGGAUACCCGUUUGCAUGUACUUUAUGAAUAAGGAUCGGCUAACUCCGUGCCAGCAGCCGCGGUAAUACGGAGGAUCCGAGCGUUAUCCGGAUUUAUUGGGUUUAAAGGGAGCGUAGGCGGACGCUUAAGUCAGUUGUGAAAGUUUGCGGCUCAACCGUAAAAUUGCAGUUGAUACUGGGUGUCUUGAGUACAGUAGAGGCAGGCGGAAUUCGUGGUGUAGCGGUGAAAUGCUUAGAUAUCACGAAGAACUCCGAUUGCGAAGGCAGCUCACUGGACUGCAACUGACACUGAUGCUCGAAAGUGUGGGUAUCAAACAGGAUUAGAUACCCUGGUAGUCCACACAGUAAACGAUGAAUACUCGCUGUUUGCGAUAUACAGUAAGCGGCCAAGCGAAAGCAUUAAGUAUUCCACCUGGGGAGUACGCCGGCAACGGUGAAACUCAAAGGAAUUGACGGGGGCCCGCACAAGCGGAGGAACAUGUGGUUUAAUUCGAUGAUACGCGAGGAACCUUACCCGGGCUUAAAUUGCAGUGGAAUGAUGUGGAAACAUGUCAGUGAGCAAUCACCGCUGUGAAGGUGCUGCAUGGUUGUCGUCAGCUCGUGCCGUGAGGUGUCGGCUUAAGUGCCAUAACGAGCGCAACCCUUGCCGCCAGUUACUAACAGGUAAUGCUGAGGACUCUGGCGGGACUGCCAUCGUAAGAUGUGAGGAAGGUGGGGAUGACGUCAAAUCAGCACGGCCCUUACGUCCGGGGCUACACACGUGUUACAAUGGGGGGUACAGAAGGCAGCUACCUGGUGACAGGAUGCUAAUCCCAAAAGCCUCUCUCAGUUCGGAUCGAAGUCUGCAACCCGACUUCGUGAAGCUGGAUUCGCUAGUAAUCGCGCAUCAGCCACGGCGCGGUGAAUACGUUCCCGGGCCUUGUACACACCGCCCGUCAAGCCAUGGGAGCCGGGGGUACCUGAAGUACGUAACCGCAAGGAGCGUCCUAGGGUAAAACUGGUGACUGGGGCUAAGUCGUAACAAGGUAGCCGUACCGGAAGGUGCGGCUG
rnacentral:rRNA from 1 species